CUUGGAACCCAGCAGAGCCUGGAGACCAUUCUUGGUAGAAAUUUGAGAUGAAACUGCCUUCUUUUGGGUGAUAAGGAAGUUCAGUAGACUGGAAGCGUCUCAUGCUGGCUGGCCUUGAUGCCAGAGGACAGACCUGGGCAUGUCUGAGACGCUGCUCUGGACAUGGCCUGGGUGUCUCCAGCUGCCUGUCCUUAGGACAGAAGGCUCUUUUGUGGUUGGAAAGGAUUUUAUGGUGCUUUAAAGGUCAGUACUGGAGCUGGCUGUUCAGGAUAGUACAGUGUAGCUUGAUGGGAGCUGCUAUGGAAGGAGCUGGGUAAACUCACUUGCCUGGCUGCUCCCUCAUACACCAGGGAAGGAAAUACCUGCAUUGGAAAUGGCUGAACUGUGCUACCUGUGUUUCCUUCUGGCCUUCUGAUCACUGACAAAGAUAAGCUGCAUCACUAAGAGCAGAAUGGUUUAAAUUUGUGCCAGAAGGACCCAGAAACCUUAAUUUCAUUGUAAACCACGUGAGUUACCAGCUACUGAGGACUCCACUUACUUGAGGAGUUUGCAUGGGUUUUUUCAGGCCAUCCUUAAGUAGUUUUCCAUCAGCAAACCUCUUCUCAUGCCUUGUAACCCAGACUGGAGUGAAAGAGGAGAGCCAGGCGGAAGCUGCAGGAUCUUGGGCUUGGUCUGACUGGUGGCUGGUUAACACAGCUGCCCUCCAGCAGGCAGAAAUGGGAUUCCCUGGAAAGUUGCUUGUCUUGGCAUUUUUAAUAAAUUGCUCCCUAGAGGGAAAAUACAAAAUGUUGCUGUCCUUGAAUCCAUGGAGGAGUGGCUUUGAAGUUUUGGACCUGAGAGAAGACUAAAAGUCUAACCAUGAUAUUUGUCUGAAAGGGCAUCUUUAACAUUGAGUUGUCAGCCUUGGAGUGGGUGUUCCUGUUGCCCUGAAAGUACCAAGUGCCUGAGGAACACGGGAUGUGGCUCACAGGUCCUUGCUGUGGUGACACUGGGAUGAUCAUGUUCUAUUAAACCAGUCCUAGCAGAGCUACAGAGAGCUGUGAGUGAAGUCAGGACAAAUUUACACCACAAAAUGCUUCUCACCACUGGAAUGCCAGAAGCAGUGGGAAUCAAAGCUGGUCUGCAGCAUUGACUGGAUACAGUCUAGACACAUUGACUUGGCAAAUGCCUGGAGUUAGUCAGCUCUUUUUCUUCAUUCAGGCUCUUGUCAUAUGGCCUUUGUUCACCCCACAGUUUGGUAGAAGGCUCAAGGAGUACCUGUUUGUGCUGAAAUCUGCAGGGAUGUGGGAACACAGCGGGGAGCAUGGGCAUUCACAGAGAGAGACUGGAUCCACAAGUCUCUCACACUGAAAUUCUGUGUCUGCAGUGAGCUGGGCUGCACUACUUUCUCAUUUUGUUCUCUGCCUUUACUUUUGCAAGGCACUGUGUGUCCCUGUCUAUGCCAGAGGGCUGGUUAAGUCUCUUCUAAUUAUUCUAGAAUGAAUAUUGAACAGACAAAUCCAGGCAGUGCUGCCAGCUCCAGUGAUUUUGUCAGUCUUGCAAUAUUUGCUUUUUGUUCUCGUGGCUUUUGCUCCUAGAUUCAUGCAAUGAAAUUCCACUUUCCACUAGCAAACAAGAGGAGGGGAAAGAAAAGCACUCCAGGUGUCCAAUCUACCUGGCAGGGAAAGUCAGGACCAGUGGCACAGGAACUCCCAGGCUGUCAGAACUGGGCUCAUCAACCCCAUGAGGGCUCCAUCUCUCCACCAUGGAUAUUGCAAAUAAUCCCUGCUCAAUAAAUCAGACUAACAAACUGCUGCUUCUCUCUCU
ensembl:lncRNA